rnacentral:rRNA from 1 species
GAUGAACGCUGGCGGCGUGCCUAAUACAUGCAAGUCGAGCGAACGGACGAGAAGCUUGCUUUUCUGAUGUUAGCGGCGGAUGGGUGAGUAACACGUGGAUAACCUACCUAUAAGACUGGGAUAACUUCGGGAAACCGGAGCUAAUACCGGAUAAUAUUUUGAACCGCAUGGUUCAAAAGUGAAAGACGGUCUUGCUGUCACUUAUAGAUGGAUCCGCGCUGCAUUAGCUAGUUGGUAAGGUAACGGCUUACCAAGGCAACGAUGCAUAGCCGACCUGAGAGGGUGAUCGGCCACACUGGAACUGAGACACGGUCCAGACCCCUACGGGAGGCAGCAGUAGGGAAUCUUCCGCAAUGGGCGAAAGCCUGACGGAGCAACGCCGCGUGAGUGAUGAAGGUCUUCGGAUCGUAAAACUCUUUUAUUAGGAAAAAAAAUUUGUGUAAGUAACUGGGCACCUCUUGGCGGUACCUAAUCAGAAAGCCACGGCUAACUACGU